rnacentral:rRNA from 1 species
GAUUAACGCUGGCGGCAGGCCUAACACAUGCAAGUCGAGCGGAAACGAGUUAUCUGAACCUUCGGGGAACGAUAUCGGCGUCGAGCGGCGGACGGGUGAGUAAUGCCUGGGAAAUUGCCCUGAUGUGGGGGAUAACCAUUGGAAACGAUGGCUAAUACCGCAUAAUAGCUUCGGCUCAAAGAGGGGGACCUUCGGGCCUCUCGCGUCAGGAUAUGCCCAGGUGGGAUUAGCUAGUUGGUGAGGUAAGGGCUCACCAAGGCGACGAUCCCUAGCUGGUCUGAGAGGAUGAUCAGCCACACUGGAACUGAGACACGGUCCAGACUCCUACGGGAGGCAGCAGUGGGGAAUAUUGCACAAUGGGCGCAAGCCUGAUGCAGCCAUGCCGCGUGUGUGAAGAAGGCCUUCGGGUUGUAAAGCACUUUCAGUCGUGAGGAAGGUAGUGUAGUUAAUAGAUGCAUUAUUUGACGUUAGCGACAGAAGAAGCACCGGCUAACUCCGUGCCAGCAGCCGCGGUAAUACGGAGGGUGCGAGCGUUAAUCGGAAUUACUGGGCGUAAAGCGCAUGCAGGUGGUGUGUUAAGUCAGAUGUGAAAGCCCGGGGCUCAACCUCGGAAUAGCAUUUGAAACUGGCAGACUAGAGUACUGUAGAGGGGGGUAGAAUUUCAGGUGUAGCGGUGAAAUGCGUAGAGAUCUGAAGGAAUACCGUGGCGAGG